UACGGGGGGGGCAAGCGUUGUUCGGAAUUACUGGGCGUAAAGGGCUCGUAGGCGGCCAACUAAGUCAGACGUGAAAUCCCUCGGCUUAACCGGGGAACUGCGUCUGAUACUGGAUGGCUUGAGGUUGGGAGAGGGAUGCGGAAUUCCAGGUGUAGCGGUGAAAUGCGUAGAUAUCUGGAGGAACACCGGUGGCGAAGGCGGCAUCCUGGACCAAAACUGACGCUGAGGCGCGAAAGCGUGGGGAGCAAACGGG
rnacentral:rRNA from 1 species